rnacentral:rRNA from 1 species
UACGUAGGGACCGAGCGUUGUCCGGAAUCAUUGGGCGUAAAGAGCGUGUAGGCGGCCACUUAAGUCCUGCGUGAAAUCCUGCGGCUCAACCGCAGGCGGUCGUGGGAAACUGGGUGGCUAGAGUGCGGGAGAGGAGAGUGGAAUUCCUGGUGUAGCGGUGGAAUGCGCAGAUAUCAGGAAGAACACCCGUGGCGAAGGCGGCUCUCUGGAACGCAACUGACGCUGAGACGCGAAAGCGCGGGGAGCGAACGGG